CACAGACAGCACCACCAUGAGCUGUAUGGGGCUAGCAUUCCCAGGCAGUCAAGGACCCCAGAGCGGCAUCUACUGCAGGAAAGGAGACCUUUCUUCUAGGGUGCAUACCUGAAGACUGCCAUACCCGAAGACUGCCAUACCCGAAGACGAUGCUCUCAAGUGGGAUGGUUUUCCAGACGUCCCUGUGGGACCUCUUCAUUUGUGGAACAGUACUGCCGGGUCUAGUGAAGCAGAAUGAAGGGUAAGG